rnacentral:rRNA from 1 species
GACGAACGCUGGCGGCGUGCUUAACACAUGCAAGUCGAACGCUGAAGCUCAGCUUUUGUUGGGUGGAUGAGUGGCGAACGGGUGAGUAACACGUGAGUAACCUGCCCCCUUCUUUGGGAUAACGCCCGGAAACGGGUGCUAAUACUGGAUAUUCACUGGUCUUCGCAUGGGGGUUGGUGGAAAGGGUUUUUCUGGUGGGGGAUGGGCUCGCGGCCUAUCAGCUUGUUGGUGGGGUGAUGGCCUACCAAGGCUUUGACGGGUAGCCGGCCUGAGAGGGUGACCGGUCACAUUGGGACUGAGAUACGGCCCAGACUCCUACGGGAGGCAGCAGUGGGGAAUAAUGCCCAAUGGGCGCAAGCCUGAUGCAGCGACGCCGCGUGAGGGAUGGAGGCCUUCGGGUUGUGAACCUCUUUCGCUCAUGGUCAAGCCGCAACAAUGGUUGUGGUGAGGGUAGUGGGUAAAGAAGCGCCGGCUAACUACGUG